AACUGUAAAUUGAGAGCGCGGGUGGGAGCAAAAAAAAGAACGAAAUCAAA
rnacentral:sRNA from 1 species